rnacentral:rRNA from 1 species
AUGAACGCUGGCGGCGUGCCUAAUACAUGCAAGUCGAGCGAACAGAUGAGGAGCUUGCUCCUCUGACGUUAGCGGCGGACGGGUGAGUAACACGUGGAUAACCUACCUAUAAGACUGGGAUAACUUCGGGAAACCGGAGCUAAUACCGGAUAAUAUAUUGAACCGCAUGGUUCAAUAGUGAAAGACGGUUUUGCUGUCACUUAUAGAUGGAUCCGCGCCGCAUUAGCUAGUUGGUAGGGUAACGGCUUACCAAGGCAACGAUGCGUAGCCGACCUGAGAGGGUGAUCGGCCACACUGGAACUGAGACACGGUCCAGACUCCUACGGGAGGCAGCAGUAGGGAAUCUUCCGCAAUGGGCGAAAGCCUGACGGAGCAACGCCGCGUGAGUGAUGAAGGUCUUCGGAUCGUAAAACUCUGUUAUUAGGGAAGAACAAAUGUGUAAGUAACUAUGCACGUCUUGACGGUACCUAAUCAGAAAGCCACGGCUAACUACGUG